ensembl:lncRNA
UUCUGUGUAUCCAGAUGCUGUGCAUGUCACCAGGUCUACACAAUAGAUGUGACAUCUUUGUCUGUCUUCUCUCUCUCUCUCUCUCUCUCUCUCUCUCUCUUUCUCAUUCACACCCACACUCUCUGCUGUCCUAUCACUCAAAAGAGACCUAGUGCGACAUGAAGGGCGGCAGUUACCUCACAGACUUAAUUAAAGAAUUCCUUGGAGAGUCUGAACGUAAACAAACAACCCUAGGGGGCCUUGGAUGUUAAUGUGGAGGAGAGGCUGCGAGAGAGGGGUGGAGAAGCCAUCACAAGCACUCACUUUUUAAAACAAGUUGGCAGUUUAGUUGGGAGAGUUCCUAACAGUCCGGUGGAUAACAGCACCCCAGAUCUGCAAAAUCAUCUUAGAGAUGGCAUUCUGGACAGGGAGUCAGGGACAAGCACCCCAACAUGGCAAAUUUGGAACUGUUCCUGGACGAUACUUUUCACACCCCUAUCAAGACAAGAGGCAUGCUGCAGAUUAUCACCAGUACUUAUAUGAGCAACCUGACCGUGUGUGUGAACCCAGCUACUGGACAAUGCCAGGGUCCCGAACAGGAGGGGUGCUCCAGGACUACACCAACUGGGCAGAGCAAGGAACUUCUCACCAUUUCCCCUUCACCUUAGAGAGUCAAGCUCGGCGACAGGGAAUGGGAGAACAGACAAUGCAUGAGAGAUUGGAGAGGGAAUGGCUGCCUAGAGAAGUGUACCGAGCACAGAGGGAGAGGCAGGAGAGGGAACGAGAGAGGGAACGAGAGAGGGAGAGAGAGAGGGAGAGAGAGAGGGAGAGGGAGAGGGAGAGAGUGAUGCAGAGGGAGAGAUGGGAGUCUCUCUCUCAUUCCCAAAGUCCUGUUCACUACCGGAAAGAAGGAGCUAAGAGAAGCCUCAGUAGCAGCAGUUACCGGGAGUUGGAGGCCUGGGCCACUCGUUACUGCCACUCUCUUCCUAGGAAGAAGCGCCUUGAGGCAGGUAUGUGGGGCGCAGCUCAGGGGGCCAGGACAAGUCAACCAGCCCGAGAGUGGCUGGGAAGAGGUUAUGGUGGAGAAACAUACCAAAGACCUGUAUCAAAUGUGACGGGAUUACCUUAUGAAACGAGAGAAUGGGGGCUCUGGGAGAGACCAGAUGCCCAUCAGCCUCCUCCAUACAAAGCUCCCCCCGGACUCCCAGAUCCUGAAAAGAUGUCCAGGGCAAACGUUAAGGAAAAUGCUCUCAGCCUCCAGAGAAGAACAUUCAAUUGCCCUCCUUGCUACAUCCCACCGCCACCAUAUGGCACUCCACAAAAUGGAAGUCCAUCGGCAACACUACAGCACCCACUUACUAAGCCACAAGUCACAAAAGAAAAUAUGGCAUCAGCAGAUCCUGCUUGGGAACAACAGUUCAGGAGCAGACAGGCUUACUGCACCCUGCCAGUUAUGAGGCGGCAUGAGUAUGCUGUGCAACCCCAACGGGAGAGGAGAAGCGUGGAGGAGGUGGAGGGGAUACAAUGGAGGAACAGAAGAACGGAGAGCCUACUGGCAUAUGAUAGCAGUGGAUACCAAGAUCCACCUACACUAAAAUCGUUGGACAACACCACUAGACCACAAAUACAACUCUCUGAGAUGUAUCCUCAGCCACAGAGCCUAAAACAGCCUCAGGUCACAGAGGCUUCCACUGGGAGACCUUCAGAUGUUCCAGAGAGCACCAGAACCAAGGUGAAGAAAAGAAGAGGAGGAGAAACCAUUUUUUGCUUGGUGUCACGCAUGGGUAGCCUAGCAGGCUUGUCCAGUUCUCCAGAAGACCCAUUGAAGGCCCAGUCUUUGCCCUUGUUUGCUGUCACACCCCUCCCUGGUGUGGCUGAAGGGCCUCAGUCACAUGGGAAUCCACAGGGGUCAGGAGCGAAUCAAACUCCACCUCAGCUAGCAGACGAAGUUGACUCAGGAGUAGCAGCUCCUGACCACCAACCCAGCUCCUCUAUAUCCAGUGUUCCUUUGGAUCCGAAACCAAAACUGAAGGGGGUCCAGCACUGGAUGGAUGAUGAAAAAGUGGCUGCACAUAGAGAGGAACUGCUAAGGGCCAUCCAGAAGUGUGGAUCAAAGCUUCAAGCAGGGAGGAGGAACUUUAAUAGUCUGCCCAUCAGAAGAGACAGGACCACUGAGGCUUCCUCAAAAGAAUGCACCAACAUGGCCUCUUCAUCUCCCCUCACCAAAAAAACAGACACGCAGCCACAGAGUGAGACAUCACUUAAGUUCCCUCUGUGGAGAGAGCCAAAGGUGCCUUGCCAAUCAAAGUGCACUACAGAGCAAAAGGAUGAAACAGGUAAAGAUAGGAGUGAACCUCCCUGCGUUCAGGACCCAAAUGAUAAAGAAAAUAACGAAGAGUUAAAACAAAGUGAACUAAAAAAUGAUUUGACCUCAGAUAACAGCAGUGGCAUUUUGGUCAUUGACGCAACCUGUGUUGUUGUCAGAGUAGAGUUCAUCUUCCCGCCCAAAAAGGAACAUGUUAAGUAUGUUUGCUCAGCGCCUUGCAGUCCAUCUGAGGCUGAGCAUGAACCUGCUGCAAAUAACAAUCUGGUCCAAGAUCCUGAGCCUGUUGGUCAUAAUGAUCCGGUUCAAGAGCACAGUGAUGCACCUGAGAGUUCUCUACCACCUAAUGAUGAUGGUGCACUCGGCAAAGGGCUAUGGGAUUCUCAGAAAGACAAUGAGACAUGCAAGGGUACUCAAUCUGAGCUUGAUACAUCCAAUACAAACGUACCCAAAGGUUUGACAGAUGAGUUAGAAAAAAGCUUAUGUCUGGAUUUAGAACCACCACCUUCACCACAAAUCAUUCCGGAAAAAGAAUCUCUGGAGGAAAGAGCAACAAGAAUUCUGGCAAUCCCAUGUUUAGAAUCCAGCAGUCAGGAAUCUUCCAAUCAGGUACAAAUGGAAGAUGUGUUGUCAUGCCAACCUGAUACAAAGCCAGAAGAAUGUUCUGACUGCCCCAUGGAGAGUUUUCCAGCAGCUAGUUCAUGUUCAGACAUUGACAAACAUGAUUCUGGAACAAUCUUUGGGGAGAAAGGUGAGGCAACUACGGAGGUUCUGCUUAAAACCGAGAUGAAUGGCUGUAAUGAAAUCACUAUUCAAAAACCACUUCAGAGUGAUGAGCAUGAAGAAGAAGACAUUCAUUAUUCCAGUGUAACAAAAGACAACAACAUCCUUGGAGAAACAGUUGUGCUGAUCAGAAGCUCCCCUGACCUUCAUCCUCAGGUUAGUCUGGAGUCAGAAGAUGAAUUAAUUGAUGAGUCUUUGGUACCCUCUCUAACCCUGUGUCUAACCUCAGCUCAGAACUACUCUGAUUGUCCAGCAGAGUCACUUUCUAACUCUUCAUCAGCAUCUACACCCAGAUCUAACACUCCCUGUGAUUACCUGCUUGAAUCAGUCCCAGUGGCCCCUUCCGACUCAUUUCCCACUGUAUGUAUUACAGACCCUGAAUGUCUAUCAGAAUCAUAUCUGCUCCCGACCUCUUAUGUAACUGGUCCAUUGGUGACCCCUGCCUCUCCCACAGAAUCUCCCAAUUGUAGGUUUCCAUCUCCACCUCCAACUCCCUCAAUGCCCCUCUCUCCCUCCACAUCCCCUCUACCCCUCCCAACCCCUCCUCCACCACCCUCUCCUUCUCCUCCACCUCUCCUUCUGACUCCUCCACCUCUAUCAAACUGUUCUACCCCAUCCUCUUUCACUCCACCCCUCUCCAUAUCUCCUCUUCCUCCCUCAAGCCCCCCUCCUGCUCUCUCUUUUACUCCUCCAACCUGCUCAAGCCCUUCCCCACCUCACUGUCUUUCUCCUGCACUACCCACAAUGGCUCCACCACCUCCCUCAAGUCCUUUGUCCCCUUCUGGACUUCCUGGAACUCUGGACUCUGAAACAUUGACUGAAAUGCCUCUUCCUGUGCCUUCAGCACCACUUACUCCCAGAGAGGAGCCUCAGUACCCAAAGUCUCUCUGGGAUGCCGUGCAUCGCAUCCGAAAGCACACUGCACCAGAUUCGGAGAAUGAGGAGGAGGAGGUGAUAGAAACAUGGGAGAAUCCAGAGAGUGUUGGUUCGGAUGCCACAGCUUUAGGCCUCGAUGAAGACACAUUGUUAGAACAUGAAGCUUGGACUUCAAAGGACGUGACAUCACAAUAUUGGACCACUGUGGAGGAAGAAUGCCCCACCAGUCACAUCACUUCCUUUCAGAGUGGCACAGUUAGAGAGGAUGAUAUGGGAUCCUUUACUUUGAUGGCACAGAGUGAGGAGGACAGCAAGGGGCAUGCAGAGGAGGAUACAUUAUCUUGCAGCAGCUCAGAUAGCCAUGCUUCUAGAGACACUGUCAUCAUGGGAGAGGAGGAGGACGGACUCUCAGAGACAGAGGCUGAGGAACAGAGAGGGGAGGAUUUUAUAACCUAUUCAGACCAGACUGAGAGUAAGAACGACCAGGCUGAAGGUAUCACUAUAGCAUGGCAAAGGGACAUCAACAGAAACUUGGAGGGAAAAAGUGAAAUAGAGCUACAGGCAACCAUUUUGCCCAAUAGAGAAGAGGAUAGCAUGGAUUGCACACAAAUUCAUCCCACUGAUGAUGAAGAAUUGGGUGACCACAAUGACACGAAAGAGUCUUUUUGUCAUUCAGUGGGGGAGAGGGGACAACCAGAGGAGUUUCCUGGAUCACAAAGGAGCCUGUCCACUGAUGACACAGAGAAGGAGAUAUGUGAUAGUUAUACUGAAGACAGAAUGAUGACUGAGCCAGACAACAGAACAUAG